GACGAACGCUGGCGGCGUGCUUAACACAUGCAAGUCGAACGGAAAGGUCUCUUCGGAGAUACUCGAGUGGCGAACGGGUGAGUAACACGUGGGCGAUCUGCCCUGCACUUCGGGAUAAGCCUGGGAAACUGGGUCUAAUACCGGAUAGGACCACGGGAUUCAUGUCCUGUGGUGGAAAGCUUUUGCGGUGUG
rnacentral:rRNA from 1 species